rnacentral:rRNA from 1 species
AUUGAACGCUGGCGGCAGGCUUAACACAUGCAAGUCGAACGAGUGGCGGACGGGAGAGUAAUGCUGGGGAAUCUAGCUUAUGGAUGGGGAUAACUACGGGAAACUGGAGCUAAUACCGCGUACCAUAGGAUGAGCCCAAGUGGGAUUAGGUAGUUGGUGAGGUAAAGGCUCACCAAGCCGACGAUCUCUAGAUGGUCUGAGAGGAUGACCACCCAAACUGGGACUGAGCAACGGCCCAGACUCCUACGUGAGGCAGCAGUUGGGAAUAUUGCGCAAUGGGGGCAACCUGACGCAGCCCGGCCGCGUGAAUGAAGAAGGCCUUCGGGUUGUAAAGUGCUUUCGGUAGCGCGGCGUUAACUACAGAAGACGCACCGGCUAACUCCGUGCCAGCAGCCGCGGUAAUAC